AUUUUGCAUUAAACCAAUAACAAAUGGGKAAUUUGCGUCUGAAUUUCAUUGAUGUUAUAUCACCUUGGAGAACUGAUGCCUCAU